AUUGAACGCUGGCGGCAGGCCUAACACAUGCAAGUCGAGCGGAUGAAGGGAGCUUGCUCCUGGAUUCAGCGGCGGACGGGUGAGUAAUGCCUAGGAAUCUGCCUGGUAGUGGGGGAUAACGUCCGGAAACGGGCGCUAAUACCGCAUACGUCCUGAGGGAGAAAGUGGGUGAUCUUCGGACCUCACGCUAUCAGAUGAGCCUAGGUCGGAUUAGCUAGUUGGUGGGGUAAAGGCCUACCAAGGCGACGAUCCGUAACUGGUCUGAGAGGAUGAUCAGUCACACUGGAACUGAGACACGGUCCAGACUCCUACGGGAGGCAGCAGUGGGGAAUAUUGGACAAUGGGCGAAAGCCUGAUCCAGCCAUGCCGCGUGUGUGAAGAAGGUCUUCGGAUUGUAAAGCGCUUUAAGUUGGGAGGAAGGGCAGUAAGUUAAUACCUUGCUGUUUUGACGUUACCAACAGAAUAAGCACCGGCUAACUUCGUG
rnacentral:rRNA from 1 species